rnacentral:rRNA from 1 species
UACGUAGGCAGCAAGCGUUGUUCGGAAUUACUGGGCGUAAAGAGUGUGUAGGCGGUGCUCUAAGUUUGGUGUGAAAAUCUCCCGGCUCAACCGGGAGGCUGCAUCGAAUACUGGAAUGCUAGAGGGUGGGAGAGGUAAGCGGAAUUCCUGGUGUAGCGGUGAAAUGCGUAGAUAUCAGGAGGAACACCUGUGGUGUAGACAGCUUACUGGACCACUUCUGACGCUGAGACACGAAAGCGUGGGGAGCGAACAGG